GAAGAGAGCACUUGACUAAUUGAUCUUCGUUGCUUAUCUCGUGGUCUCACCUUCACCUUCUGCAGGUCUGCUCAGAUUAGCUGGAAAUGGGUCCACUCGGUGCUCUGGAAGGGUUGAAAUCUAUAAGUCUUACUAUGACUAUAACUCUUACUCUUACCGUUACGCCUCCUGGGGAACAGUGUGUGAUGAUGGCUGGGACUUAAAAGAUGCUGAGGUGGUCUGUAGAGAGCUGAACUGUGGGAUAGCACUGGAGGCUCUUGGGUCUGCAUACUUUGGUCAAGGUACAGGGACUAUCAUGCUUGAUGAUGUGGACUGUUCAGGAAGUGAAACUUCUCUAAAUGAUUGUCGUCACAGAGGACUUAGGACACACAACUGUGGCCAUAGUGAAGACGCUGGUGUGGUCUGUUCAGAAAUCCUCCCAGAGCCCACCCUCUCCUUGUACAGUAAUGAGGUCACCUGGGGUCAGGGCGUCAAAAUCAAUUGCUCAGUCUCAGAAAAGUUCUCAGGUGGAACUUUUAUCCUCCAGAAGACUUCAAGCUCAUUCAGUCAGACUAAACCAUCCUCUACGAGCUCUGUUAUAUUCAAUCUUCGCAAUGUGAACUUUGAUCAUGAUGGACUGUACCAGUGUCAGUAUAUGAAAAUAAGUCGAAGGUUCAGCUCUUCCUCUGUCAGACUCACUGUGAGACUGCAGACACCCAGCAUCUCCCUGACCUCUCCUAGUGCAGGUCUGGUCUGGGGUCCUGAAGGUGCAGAGAUCACCAGGGGUUACGGUUUUGUCUUCACCUGCUCCGUUAACUCCAGAUUUUCCAGUGGACGUUUCUUUCUCAUCUUCUCUGAGUCCAACAUCACAGACAGCAAGCCAGCAGUCAACAACUCAGCCUCCUUUAGUUUCCCUGUAGCUGAGUAUGAACACCAAGGCAACUACAGCUGUGUGUAUGAAGUCACAGUGUCCACACGGACAUUCAGUUCUACUGCAACAGCACCCAUUACUGUCAUCAUUAAAUUUCCUCGGAUGCUGCUGGUCUCGUCUGUAGUUGCUGUGGUCCUGUUGCUCCUGCUGGUCUUUUUGGUGGUCUUCCUGGUGCUCAGGAGAAGGAGACAAACACAGCUGGGCUACAGCCACACCAGAAUGACUCUAACAAUCUGUGAUGAAGAUGAUGACGUCAGUGAAAAAAGAUAUGGAUUCUGAGAGACUGAACACCAAAGAAAUCACACUGAACAAACAGGAAGAGCAGAGAAAGAGAAGAAAAGCAGAUGAAGAUCAAAGCAGUAGUGAUGAAAAUGAUCAUGUAUUUGCAACUCGGUCAUUUGGUGAACAAACUGUGGACCUUUGUAGAGAACAAAAAGAUGUUUAUCAAAAUCUUUAGGUUAAUAUUGAUUAACAUUGAUCCAUUCAGUUUAACACAGAAUAUCAGCCAGAAGAAACUAAAACUCUCGUAUCUUUCUACAAUGAGACUACCACGUGGUCAAAUAUUUCAUAUAGGUUAAGAUUAGUAGCUACAGUGUCCAUUAACUGAUCAUUUAAGCUUUUCUACUUUUCUUGGCUUACCGUAUUAUUGUCAUAAAUUGUCAUUUCUGUUACACUUUUAACCAGUUAUAAAAACAAAAAAAACACAAUUAUGUUCUAA
ensembl:lncRNA